GGGCGAGUGGUUGCGCAGGCGUGCCAGCACCGCGGGGUGCAGUCGUUGGGGUAGUCCCGUGACCUGACUUCUUCUUCAAGCGCUGUGGACGAGGAGAGCACCAACCUCGUCACAGGGUUCUUUUCUUGCCUUCCGGAGAAGGACUUCUUUGCCUUACACGGGUAAGGGCUUUGGAUGUGGUUUCUUUGCGUUCACCAAAUCGAUACUCAACUUGAAAGCCGAGCAGAGCAAUCACUGGGAAGUUGGAGAGGAACACGGGUUUGCUAAAGCGUGACUCUAGCUUCGCUGGAAGUAACAGUGGCGGUUGCGCUCGCAGUCGGCUCCUGGGGAGACUAGGACUGGAAGUACGGUCGCCGGGUUGAACUGGUGAGGCUGACAGUCGGCUCGCGGGGAGACUAGGACUGGCGGGCGGUCACCG
rnacentral:lncRNA from 1 species